rnacentral:rRNA from 1 species
UACGGCGCGCUAUGAUGCGAGUCGAACGAGAAACAGACAGCUGAUCUCUUCGGAGUGACGCAGUCUGUGGAAAGUGGCGUACGGGUGAGUAACACGUGGGUCACCUGCCUCCAAGACGGGGACAACACAGGGAAACUUGUGCUAAUCCCCGAUGGUCUACCGGUACCCUGGUAUCGGAUAGUAAAGGUUUCGCACCGCUUGGAGAUGGGCCCGCGCCCCAUUAGCUAGUUGGUGAGGUAAUGGCUCACCAAGGCGACGAUGGGUAGCCGGUCUGAGAGGAUGGUCGGCCACACUGGGACUGAGAUAUGGUCCAGACUCCUACGGGAGUUAGCAUCAGGGGAUCUUGCACAAUGGGCGAAAGCCUGAUGCAGCGACGCCGCGUGUGUGAUGAAGGCCUUCGGGUCGUAAAGCACUGUCAGGAGGGAAGAAUGCCACGUCUUUGACGUGGAGCGACACUACCUCCAGAGGAAGCCCCGGCUAACUACGUGCCAGCAGCCGCGGUAAAACGUAGGGGGCCAGCGUUGUCCGGAAUUACUGGGCAUAAAGCGCGCGUAGGCUGUUUAGUAAGCGGAGGGUGUAAUCCCGAGGCUCAACCUCGGAACUGCUCUCCGAACUGCUAGGCUAGAGUGCGGGAGAGGAUAGUGGAAUUCCUGGUGCAGCGGUGGAAUGCGUAAAUAUCAGGAGGAACACCGGUGGCGAAGGCUGCUAUCUGGAACGCAACUGACGCUGAGGCGCGAAAGCUAGGGGAGCGAACGGGAUUAGAUACCCCGGUAGUCCUAGCCGUAAACGAUGGACACUAGGUGUUGGGGGAUCGACCCCCCCAGUGCUGUCUGCUACGCGUAGUGUCCGCCUGGGGAGUACGUCGCAAGCUAAAACUCAAAGGAAUUGACAG